AGUGAACGCUGGCGGUAGGCCUAACACAUGCAAGUCGAACGGCAGCACAGGAGAGCUUGCUCUCUGGGUGGCGAGUGGCGGACGGGUGAGGAAUACAUCGGAAUCUACUUUUUCGUGGGGGAUAACGUAGGGAAACUUACGCUAAUACCGCAUACGACCUACGGGUGAAAGCAGGGGACCUUCGGGCCUUGCGCGAUUGAAUGAGCCGAUGUCGGAUUAGCUAGUUGGCGGGGUAAAGGCCCACCAAGGCGACGAUCCGUAGCUGGUCUGAGAGUAUGAUCAGCCACACUGGAACUGAGACACGUUCCGGACUCCUACGGGAGGCAGCAGUGGGGAAUAUUGGACAAUGGGCGAAAGCCUGAUCCAGCCAUACCGCGUGGGUGAAGAAGGCCUUCGGGUUGUAAAGCCCUUUUGUUGGGAAAGAAAUCCAGCUGGCUAAUACCCGGUUGGGAUGACGGUACCCAAAGAAUAAGCACCGGCUAACUUCGUGCCAGCAGCCGCCGUAA
rnacentral:rRNA from 1 species